rnacentral:rRNA from 1 species
UACGGAGGGUGCAAGCGUUGUCCGGAUUUAUUGGGUUUAAAGGGUGCGUAGGCGGUCUUUUAAGUCAGUGGUGAAAGCCUCCAGCUUAACUGGAGAACUGCCAUUGAUACUGGAAGACUUGAGUACAGACGAGGUAGGCGGAAUUGACAGUGUAGCGGUGAAAUGCAUAGAUAUUGUCAAGAACACCGAUUGCGAAGGCAGCUUACUAGACUGUAACUGACGCUGAGGCACGAAAGUGUGGGGAUCAAACAGG